GCCCUGCUAGCUCAAUCGGUAGAGCGUCAGACUUUUAAUCUGAAUGUUGCGGGUUCGAGUCCCGCGUGGGGCG
rnacentral:tRNA from 1 species